rnacentral:rRNA from 1 species
UACAGAGGGUGCAAGCGUUAUUCGGAAUUACUGGGCGUAAAGAGCGUGUAGGUGGUUUGAUAAGUCUGAUGUGAAAGCCCUGGGCUCAACCCAGGAAGUGCAUCGGAUACUGUCGAACUAGAGUAGAGGAGAGGAAAGCGGAAUUCCAGGUGUAGAGGUGAAAUUCGUAGAUAUCUGGAGGAACAACAGAGGCGAAGGCGCUUUCUGGACUCUUACUGACACUAAGGCGCGAAAGCGUGGGGAGCAAACAGG